rnacentral:rRNA from 1 species
GACGAACGCUGGCGGCGUGCUUAACACAUGCAAGUCGAACGGAAAGGCCCUGCUUUUGUGGGGUGCUCGAGUGGCGAACGGGUGAGUAACACGUGAGUAACCUGCCCUUGACUUUGGGAUAACUUCAGGAAACUGGGGCUAAUACCGGAUAGGAGCUCCUGCUGCAUGGUGGGGGUUGGAAAGUUUCGGCGGUUGGGGAUGGACUCGCGGCUUAUCAGCUUGUUGGUGGGGUAGUGGCUUACCAAGGCUUUGACGGGUAGCCAGCCUGAGAGGGUGACCGGCCACAUUGGGACUGAGAUACGGCCCAGACUCCUACGGGAGGCAGCAGUGGGGAAUAUUGCACAAUGGGCGGAAGCCUGAUGCAGCAACGCCGCGUGCGGGAUGACGGCCUUCGGGUUGUAAACCGCUUUCGCCUGUGACGAAGCGUGAGUGACGGUAAUGGGCAAAGAAGCACCGGCUAACUACGUG